CUUUUUUUUUUCAUUUUGCUGCGACCACUAGCAGUAUAUUGGUGAGGGUGUUUCAUUCUUUUAUUUUAUUUUAUGUUAUGGUGAGGGUGUUUCAUUCAUUCAUCAUUCAUGUGCUGGAAAUUUGGAACGAGAGAGCUUUAAUUCACUCUCAGAGAGUCUGAGUCAGUUUCCUGAUCAACGGCGGUAUCAGCAUAUGAAAUAUGAAUUUGACAGUGUGAGUGGGGAACUGCAU
rnacentral:lncRNA from 1 species